GGGGCUGUGGCUCAACCUGGUUAGAGCACAGGCCUCGCAUAUCGAGAGUAUAGAAAUAUACCUAUAAAGGUUCGCAGUUCAAAUCUGCGCAGCCCCA
rnacentral:tRNA from 1 species